rnacentral:rRNA from 1 species
CAGCAGCCGCGGUAAUACAGAGGGUGCGAGCGUUAAUCGGAUUUACUGGGCGUAAAGCGUGCGUAGGCGGCUUCUUAAGUCGGAUGUGAAAUCCCUGAGCUUAACUUAGGAAUUGCAUUCGAUACUGGGAAGCUAGAGUAUGGGAGAGGAUGGUAGAAUUCCAGGUGUAGCGGUGAAAUGCGUAGAGAUCUGGAGGAAUACCGAUGGCGAAGGCAGCCAUCUGGCCUAAUACUGACGCUGAGGUACGAAAGCAUGGGGAGCAAACAGGAUUAGAUACCCCCGUAGUCCCUGUCUCUUAUAU